rnacentral:rRNA from 1 species
UGGGGAAUAUUGGACAAUGGGCGAAAGCCUGAUCCAGCCAUGCCGCGUGUGUGAAGAAGGUCUUCGGAUUGUAAAGCACUUUAAGUUGGGAGGAAGGGCAGUAAGCGAAUACCUUGCUGUUUUGACGUUACCGACAGAAUAAGCACCGGCUAACUCUGUGCCAGCAGCCGCGGUAAUACAGAGGGUGCAAGCGUUAAUCGGAAUUACUGGGCGUAAAGCGCGCGUAGGUGGUUCGUUAAGUUGAAUGUGAAAGCCCCGGGCUCAACCUAGGAACUGCAACCAAGAAUGGCGAACUUGAGGAGGGCAGGGGGUGGUGGGAAUUCCCGUGGAGCGGGGAAAGGGGUAGGUAUAGGAGAGGAAACCAAUGGCGAAGGCAGCCACCUGGGGUUAUUAUAUAACUGGUGUGCGAAAGAGUUGGGGGCAAACAGG